rnacentral:rRNA from 1 species
GACGAACGCUGGCGGCGCGCUAAACACAUGCAAGUCGAGCGAGAACCAGGCCCUCGGGUCUGGGGAAAGCGGCGAACGGGUGAGUAACACGUGAGUAACCUGCCCUCGGCACCGGGAUAGCCCGGGGAAACCCGGAUUAAUACCGGAUAGCCAUUCGAGCUCUCGAUCGCGAAGGAAAAGGUAGCUUUGGACUCUGGCCGAGCAUGGGCUCGGGGCGGAUUAGCUUGUUGGUGGGGUAAUGGCCCACCCAGGCGACGAUCCGUAGCUGGUCUGAGAGGACGAUCAGCCACACUGGGACGGAGACACGGCCCAGACUCCUACGGGAGGCAGCAGUGGGGAAUCUUGCGCAAUGGGCGAAAGCCUGACGCAGCGACGCCGCGUGCGGGAAGAAGGCCUUCGGGUUGUAAACCGCUUUCAGGAGGGACGAAGCCCCUCGGGUGAAUAGCCCAGAGGGUGACGGUACCUCCAGAAGAAGCCCCGGCUAACUACGUGCCAGCCGCCGCCGUAAAAC